UCUUCAGGUGCUUAGAAGAGUCUAGAGUGAGCACGGGGCAGCACAAGGAGAACCUGCGCAAUUUCAGCUACCUGCUGUCCUCUCACUGAAUUUCCUGUUGGGGCGGAGACAUCACACAACCCACUAACUUCACUUGCUCUGCUUUAGCAGCAAAUAUAGAGUUAAGGUCUUGGUUUGAGACAGAACCUAAGAAAGCUUAUUCGGGGAAGAGCUACGGCUAUGCUGAUCAUCAGGCUCCUGGGGGCAGCCAUGGCCUCCAUAUGCCUUGGAUCCAGCAUGUCACAGAAGGUAACUCAGGCUCACUUUGAAAUUUCUGUGGUGGAGAAAGAGGCUGCAAACUUGGACUGUGUGUAUGAAACUAGUGAGCCUAGUUAUAGCUUACUCUGGUACAAACAAGCACCAAGUGGGGAAAUGGUUUUCCUUGUUCGUCAGGACUCCUUCAAGAAGGACAAUGCAUCAGAGGGUCGCUAUUCUCUGAACUUCCAGAAGUCAGGCAGUUCCAUCAAGCUCACCAUCACAGCCACAGAGGUUGAGGACUCGGCAGUCUAUUUCUGUGCUCUGAGAGGUGCCACAGUG